rnacentral:rRNA from 1 species
UACGAGGGGUGCAAGCGUUGCUCGGAAUUAUUGGGCGUAAAGGGUAGGUAGGUGGUCUCGUUUGUCAGGGGUGAAAGCCUUGGGCUUAACCCAAGAAGUGCCCCUGAAACGGCGAGACUCGAGUCCUGGAGAGGGUCGUGGAAUUCCCGGUGUAGCGGUGAAAUGCGUAGAGAUCGGGGAGGAACACCAGAGGCGAAGGCGGGGUUGCUGGGCUGAUACUGACGCUGAGGCGCGAAAGCCAGGGGAGCGAACGGG